AACCGAGCAGUUGCGUGGUAAAAAUAUUUAUCAUGAGGAAAGUCCGGACACUCCAGAGCAGGCCGCCGGAUAACGUCCGGUGCGGGCGACCGCGAGGAAAGUGCCACAGAAAAUAUGACCGCCGAUGAUUACUUUAAAGUAAAACAGGUAAGGGUGCAAUGGUGAGGUAAGAGCUCACCGCAGACAUCGAGAGGUGUCGGGCAGGUAAACCCCGGUUGAGUGCAAGAUAAGUUGAAGGUUAAGGCUGCUCGCCGUCUUCAGAAAAAUCGCUUGAGCCUGUGGGUAACCAUAGCGCCAGACAGAUAACUGCUAAAACAGAAUCCGGCUUAUGAGUUACUU
rnacentral:RNase_P_RNA from 1 species